CAUCAGCACAAAUAAAGGCUAUUUAGGCCGUUGUUUUUACAAUAUUGUGCUCAUAAAUACAUAUAUAAUACAUAAAAUCUUAAAUAUAAAUGUAAGUGUGUUUUAAAUGAUAUCUGAAAUAUCAUUUUCUUCUCUAAGUGAUGCAUAUUUUUCACAAUCAUUGAAAAUAUGUCUGACUGAAAGGUUUACAUUGCAAUUACUGAAUCUUUUCUUCUGAACAUUUCGACACAACUCCAUCUCUUAGUUGAAUCUCUAAUUUCUCUGUAUUUGUUUUCGGUAGUAGAUAUCCAAUUAUAAUUCCAAGUUUGUUUGAAACUAAAUUUGUCUAUGUUUUUAAAAUCUGAAGAUGUCUGUGAAUCUUGUGAAAUAGAUUCAUUAGUUGCUUGCUUAGCUGCUACAUCCGCUUUCUCAUUUCCUAUUAUUCCAACGUGGCUUGGCACAAAACAAAAUUUGAGAAUUUUUGAAGACUUGGAGAUUUUCAAAAUAUUUUGGUAAAUUUUUUUAACUAUGCAGUGAUUAGAAAAGGGGUUUUUGAUUGCUUUAAGAGAGCUCAAUGAGUCAGUUAAACAAAGGUUUUUAUCUUUAUUAUUUUUUAAAACUUCUUCUGUUACUUUCAGAAUUCCGCUAAGUUCAGCACUAAACACAGAACUAUAAUUUGCUAAACGAAAACACAUAGUUGUAUCCUUACUUUCAUCAUAAAUGGCACAUGCAGUCUUAUGACCACACACGCUCAUUUUUUUUUAACCAUAAACGACUUUUUUUGAACCAUUUUAUGAUUUUUCCGAUAGAACUCCCAUUAUUGUUAUUAUUCAACCAUAGUGUUCGGUUGAAUUUCAAGCAUUUCUAAAGUUCUGGCGGUAAACUUAUAAAAUGGUUAAAUUUCAAACGCAAUUUGUUUGAAAAAAAGUUGCGAUUAUUGGACGCGCAGUCCGGUUGAUUGUUUUUAUGGCUGUUAGUCGGGUUUAACAGUUUUUUAGUUCAUUAUACAGCUCCCGGAGGAUUAUUGGAUCAUACGUCGGGUAAGUAUAUACUGAAUUGAAGCAUUGAACAAUAGUGAAGAGAAUUUAAAAUUAUAUUUUGAACAUCCUCCAAAUCCCUCGUCGAUAACCUUAAAAUAUUGUUUUUCUCCAAUCAUGAUGAACACAGAUCCGUUCGGUUCGUGAAUUCAAGAGGAUUCGGAACAGGAAAUUCCAGCAGCAACACCAACGAGAUAGUGGUGCAAAAGAAGACGACUGCUGUUCCUCUCAAGAAACUGUUGCUUUUCAUCUGCGCACCGGGGGCGAAACGGGACUCCCGGUUUAUUUGAAAACGGUGCUUGAACUUGAACGGAAUCUUCCAAAAGAUGAUAAGAAUGAUAAGGGGCUUCCUCUAAUUCUGCAAGUCUGUCUCAUCCUAAAAGUUGCUAGAAGAUGAACAAGAAGGCAAAAACGUGCUCAGCAUCGGGUGCAGUCACCGGGGAGAUAGCAACACCGGAUCAUCCGGAAGUGACCGACUUGAAAUAUUACUUGCACCCGUCCAAUAAAAGCAUUUUUAAAAACAACACUAAUUUAAUUGUGUUAUUAUACAUCAAUUAAGGUAUCUUCCUUUGAUUCUUUCAUGUUUAAGCGAAUAAAAUAAAAAAUCCUUGA